AGCUUUGUGCAAUGGCAGUCUUGUAGCCAAUGAGGUUUAUCAAAAGUGCAAUUAAAUGCUAAUGGAAAACUUUUUCCAACACCCCCAUGGUAAAGAUUUGCAAUAUAGUCAGCACUGGAAAUUUGUGACAGUCUCUAUGGAGA